CCGCGCCGUGGUUGGGAUUGGUACAGAUGGUGCCCUCGCACGGCACCUCGGUGCCGUCACCGUUGGGGUUCGGCAUCAUCGGCACCGUC
rnacentral:tRNA from 1 species